GCCACAUGAUGACUACAGAAUAGAAUACAAUAGCACUCUGUGCAAAGAUGACUACUAUCUAUCACCCAAGACUGAUGGUG